AGGUCUGAUCUGUGAUAUUUGCAUCGCACAUGCGUAUUAGCGCCCUCCUCUAUCGAUCGUGGGACAUUUGAAGUUCCCCAGUUCAUGAGCUUCUCCAGUCCGAAGAUAUUUUUUCUUCCAAGAAAAAAAUCACCGCAUAUUCAGGCAGGGAUUACUUAUCUGCUGGAGGAAAUAAAGACGUCUUUUGCAAAAGCAGACUCUGAGUCUAUAAAAACAUGUUGCAGGACUUACUAUGAAACACUGCGGAGGAAAUACACUUUGUCUCUACCCGAAAAGUUACAGAUUAGGGACUCCAUUAAGGCAGUGGCUAAAAUAAGGAGUAAGUGUAGAAAUUCACCCCUGUAUUAAGUUUGGUACAUCUCUGGGUGUUUUUUGCUGUGAAGUUGCUGGAGUCUGGGUCCAGGGUCAUUCAAACAGAUGCAGAGAGAGAACUGUGGCAGACAGCAACGCUGGAACUGAUGUCUGAUGAGGAGGAUGUCAUUGCUGACGGAAGGCCGGUGUGGGCUGUGAGAUCUCCACCUCACAGGAGACCACAGUUGUCAUCUUCAGCGCAGAUUGGAGGUAGAUGCACGCUACGUUCUUUCACACCAUCAGCGUGUAAGACCUAAUGAAACUGAGCCAGAAGGACAUUGAUUUUUGAAACUCUAAGAAGCACGGGUUCAUCUGUGACUGCUCCUCGGGUGAUACAGUGCUCCAAAUGUCACUGGAUGGCUUAAAUGCAGAGGUCACAUUCCAAGUAUGGGUUACAUUGGUUAUUAUGUUACUUUCACUUCCCUUUUAUAUUGUGUUUUAGUAUUUAGUCUUUAAUAUUUUAGCUUUUAGAAUUGUAUAAAUAUAAUUGCACCUUUAUAAUUGCACAUUUGCUUCCUAAUUCUUACCUACUUGCUUUAUACAUUUAUUAGAUUUGGACAGUUCCAUAUUCUGUAACUUUGUUGAUAUUGCUUUGUGUUUGGUUGCUUUGUAUGUGUGUGGUUUGAUUUUAGUUUCAGUUCAGUUCCAUAUUCUAUAGCAUUUUUAAAAUAUAUAUAUAUUUUAAUUGCUUUGUUUUGUUUAUUAAAAUAAGUGUUUUGUUUACUAAAAUAAACUGUAUAGUUUCAUAUUUUAUAACCUUCUAAUAUUGCUUUGAGAAGUGUCUGGUUGAAUUUAAAGUUGAAAAAAAAUCUGAAACAAUUCUAUUCUAAUUUUUAGAGGGUGCGAGGGAUGUAUAGUAUGGAGGGGGGUUAUGGUCUAUGUAUAUAACUGGCCAAUAACCAAUCAAGUCACUAAGAUAAAAGGCCUUUGGUUGGGUUUAGUAAAAAGCGUAACCAAUCAAAUAAUCUCAAGGGAAAGUGUCAAAGUUGUGUCAGUUUUUGUCAGGGUUUUGAAAGUGGUUUUGAGAAGCCACCAAUCAAUGCGAGAUGAAACUCCAAUGGGGACACCGUUGUGCAAAUGUGUGAAAUGCAAGAUCAUCUGCAGGUGUGAAAAAGUCCUCUGAUAAAAUCGUUGAUGGGAUUAUUUGCAAAAACAGCAGAUGUCUGUACCAUGGUAGGAUACAUAAGCAUGAUUGGUAUGAUUCCGGAAGUAUCCUAAACUGGUGGAAGUUGAUGUAUACACUCAGUGGUGCAUACAGGAGCUUCCUUGUACAGAUACACCAAGUUUCAUAGAGUGCAGCUCCAGCACACGUGCAGGACGUUUCUGGUGAGACCUUGAUUAUCUGGUUAAGGUGUAAAACCACAGGACAGUGGCCCUCCAAGAACAGCUUUAGACAGCCCUGCUCAUAAAAGUUCACAACUGCCUUGUGAUAAAUUCUUUCUGGUUUCCUAAAAAUACUGGUAUGUCAAUCUUUUGAGCAUAUGAACUUAUUGACAUCAGAGCUAAUAUUUAAUGGUCUGUUAAGCAUUCAAUGAUUCAACACUUAAGAUAUCAUAAAGUGAUGAUACAUGAUCUACAAUACUAGUGAUGAAACAUUUAAACCAAGGAAUUCGGAGCUCAUGUCGAAAAUAUGGUCAUUCCAGAUGAAGCCUCGAUUCGAAGUUUGUGUUGUUAACGUAGAAAUCAUGUGACCAAUAACAAACGAAACCUCACUUUCUUUUCAAUGAUAUGCGUGAUUCACUUUUGUGUGUCGAAGUGUUCGAAUCCCCAGAUCUUACUUUACCAGUGUGUUUUCAUUCGGACUUACUCAGUUACACUUUAAAUAACCAGUCAUAAAAAUAAUAUCGAAUAAAGCUAAUUAUUUCAGAGAAAAAAAUAUAUGUUUUUCAUAUGCAAUUCAUAAGUGUACAUUAUUCUUCUGUUAGGCUAAAGUGAUAUUUGUAAUGGCAUUAACUGCCACAGUUAUUGGUUAAAUGCAUUUAACAAAGAGAGAAAUUCAACACACACACACACACACACACACACACUGUUUGGCUUUUAUUUGUGUACCGAUCUAUGGAACGUUUUGUGGCUGCUUCGUCCGUCGGAGCUUCUUUCACGGGCUUUUGCCUGUUUUGUUUUUUACUGACCACCAGAUGAGGCUGUUUUAUAGGCUCUAGAAGUUUUGAAUUUUUCCCCGAAACAGUCAGAGGAAAGUCUCGGUGCUUCACGAGGCUUCAACCAACCAUCACUAGUUCUCAACUCUGGUCCACAUUUUCUAGGCUAUGUCUUCUUUAUUUAACAUAGCUGAACUAACCAAUUUAGAUCUUCGGGAGCACUUGAUUAUUGUUGGAUCAGGGUCAAUAUCAAUAAAACAAAUAAAUAAAAUAUAAAAUAAUAAUAAAAAGUAUAAAUACAUUUCCAAAUCUAUGUUUUCUAAGCAUAACAUUUAGAUUUUUGUUUUUUAC